rnacentral:rRNA from 2 species
AUAUCAAUAAGCGGAGGAAAAGAAACCAACAGGGAUUGCCUCAGUAACGGCGAGUGAAGCGGCAACAGCUCAAAUUUGAAAUCUGGCCCCUCCGGGGUCCGAGUUGUAAUUUGGAGAGGAUGCUUCGGGUGUGGCCCCCAUCUAAGUGCCCUGGAACGGGCCGUCAUAGAGGGUGAGAAUCCCGUCUGGGAUGGGUGGCCAGGCCCGUGUGAAGCUCCUUCGACGAGUCGAGUUGUUUGGGAAUGCAGCUCUAAGCGGGUGGUAAAUUUCAUCUAAAGCUAAAUAUUGGCCGGAGACCGAUAGCGCACAAGUAGAGUGAUCGAAAGAUGAAAAGCACUUUGGAAAGAGAGUUAAACAGCACGUGAAAUUGUUGAAAGGGAAGCGCUUGCAACCAGACUCGCCCCGGGAGGCUCAACCGGCACUCGUGCCGGCGCACUCCCCCCGGGGCGGGCCAGCAUCAGUUUGGGCGGCCGGUCAAAGGUCCCCGGAAUGUAUCACCUCUCGGGGUGUCUUAUAGCCGGGGAUGCAAUGCGGCCAGCCUGGACUGAGGAACGCGCUUCGGCUCGGAUGCUGGCGUAAUGGCUGUAAGCGGCCCGUCUUGAAACACGGACC